GCUCAGGACGAACGCUGGCGGCGUGCUUAACACAUGCAAGUCGAACGAUGAAGCCUUUCGGGGUGGAUUAGUGGCGAACGGGUGAGUAACACGUGGGCAAUCUGCCCUUCACUCUGGGACAAGCCCUGGAAACGGGGUCUAAUACCGGAUAACACUCUGUCCCGCAUGGGACGGGGUUAAAAGCUCCGGCGGUGAAGGAUGAGCCCGCGGCCUAUCAGCUUGUUGGUGGGGUAAUGGCCUACCAAGGCGACGACGGGUAGCCGGCCUGAGAGGGCGACCGGCCACACUGGGACUGAGACACGGCCCAGACUCCUACGGGAGGCAGCAGUGGGGAAUAUUGCACAAUGGGCGAAAGCCUGAUGCAGCGACGCCGCGUGAGGGAUGACGGCCUUCGGGUUGUAAACCUCUUUCAGCAGGGAAGAAGCGAGAGUGACGGUACCUGCAGAAGAAGCGCCGGCUAACUACGUGCCAGCAGCCGCGGUAAUACGUAGGGCGCAAGCGUUGUCCGGAAUUAUUGGGCGUAAAGAGCUCGUAGGCGGCUUGUCACGUCGGAUGUGAAAGCCCGGGGCUUAACCCCGGGUCUGCAUUCGAUACGGGCUAGCUAGAGUGUGGUAGGGGAGAUCGGAAUUCCUGGUGUAGCGGUGAAAUGCGCAGAUAUCAGGAGGAACACCGGUGGCGAAGGCGGAUCUCUGGGCCAUUACUGACGCUGAGGAGCGAAAGCGUGGGGAGCGAACAGGAUUAGAUACCCUGGUAGUCCACGCCGUAAACGUUGGGAACUA
rnacentral:rRNA from 1 species